UACGUAGGGGGCAAGCGUUGUCCGGAUUUAUUGGGCGUAAAGAGCGUGUAGGCGGCCAGACAGGUCCGUUGUGAAAACUCGAGGCUCAACCUCGAGAUGUCGAUGGAAACCAUUUGGCUAGAGUCCGGAAGAGGAGAGUGGAAUUCCUGGUGUAGCGGUGAAAUGCGCAGAUAUCAGGAGGAACACCGAUGGCGAAGGCAGGUCUCUGGGCCACUACUGACGCUGAGAAGCGAAAGCAUGGGGAGCGAACAGG
rnacentral:rRNA from 1 species